rnacentral:lncRNA from 1 species
CUCAUCCGUGCUUUGUAAAGCAUGUGCUUCGAAGCAAAAAGACACCACAGGUUAAUUUUCAAUUAGCUAAAGAGAGGGAGUGUGUGUGCAGAUCCUCAACUGACUGAGAAAAGGUGAUUUGAUAGAAGCUGCAUAAAAGGAAUGUCUGUUCUUGUGACAGUGUGAAGCAGUUUCAGACCUCAGAGCCAUUACCUACAUUCAUUGUGCUGUUUUCUUCUGUUAAAGCGUUUAUUUCUAGAAAUGGAAUGAAAGCCUAAGCUGCAUCCCAGGCCCUUUUUGUGAGCCAGGAAUCGUCACAGAAAGGCACAGGGUGAAUGACUGCACGCUGUCUCCAUUAGCAUCUCGUGUGCUCCACAGCAAUACACCUGCUGAUUCCCCUGAAUAAUAUGGCUUAAAUGAGGUACAUUAAACAUGCAUUUCCUUGUCGUGAAUUUCUAGGAGCUCAAUAAUGCUGUUUUGGCAGGUUAAUUCAGCACUCCUCGCAGUGAUGUCUUUAAAGGUUCAUUAAAAUCCUUCAAUGAACUCUUUUUUUUUUUUUUUUUUCUAUGUAAAAGACCAAAAUUAAGAUUUUUGUGAGUAAAAGGACGUGAAAUCUGUCUCACCAUGCUGUGGG